rnacentral:lncRNA from 1 species
GGCUGGCCCCAAAGAGGGCUCCACAGGACUCACCCCAAAGCCCCCCAAAGCUCCCAGGCCCUAGCCUGCAAGUCCCACUAGGUUGACCUGGGUGAAGCCCACCUGGGCACAGCUCACCUGUUUGUAGGCAUCGAGCAGAAAGCUCUUCCAGACGCAGCGCAGUCCCUCUGAGGUCAGCAUGCGCCGCCACUCUCCGCGAGCGGACUUGGAGCGGCUCAGCACCAGAACCACGUGCUUGAGCAGAAUGACCGAGUCGUAGAGAGCCAGGAAGAGGCAGUUGGAGAAAAAAACUGGCAGGAUCUGCAGUGUGAUCAGCAAGUCUAUGCUGAGGAUACCCAUUUUCGCUGCCUCCAGAGUCGUCCUCUUGUGCGCUCUGGUUCCCCUUCGCCCUCUUAUUUAAAAGAGGGGUGGUGAUAGAGGGGUGGGGGAGGUAAGGGGGAAGGUUAGGGGUGGGGAGAGAAGGAGAAAAACUAAAUUAAAAGGAAGCCCAAGUUGUCUCCUCUUUCAAAGAAGCAGAAAUGGCAAGACCAAGUUCAGUCUCUCCGGCCCAGCAGUUGGAGUGUGCCCAUCAAUUCAUUCAAUUCGGAGCUGCUGCCUUUUUUUCUUUUUUUUUUUUUUCAGGAUUUAAGAUGUUAAAAAAAGAAAGAAAGAAAGAAAGAAACUGGCGCACCCGUCCCUAAUCCAGUUACCCCUGUCAGAGUCCGUUAAAGACACGCUGUUCUACUUUCAUUUCCAAGCACCUAUGAGACUGUGGAAGAGACUGCAAAUUUUUCCUUAGCUUUUCAUUGUCUCUGUGUUCUUUAAACGUAGCCUGUUUCUUUCUUGAAUUGCUAGUUUAAAAAUGUGUUUUAAUGGCAGUUUGUUUUUCUUUCUUUACUGCGUUUUGUAUACACUUUCUGUCCCCAGCCUGUCUCACUCUCUCUCCCUUCUCCAGGAGCAGACUGAGUGCGGUGCUCACUCCCUCUGGCUUCUCCUUCCUGCUAUCUGUCUGUGUGCAAAGUGCCUCCCUCUACAGCCCAAUUUGUUACCUAGGUCCUUUAAAUAUUUUUGA